CCUACGGGGGGCAGCAGUGGGGGAUAUUGCACAAUGGGCGAAACCCUGAUGCAGCGACGCCGCGUGUGGGAAGACGGUCCUCUGGAUUGUAAACUACUGUCCCCAGGGACGAAAAUGACGGUACCUGGGGAGGAAGCUCCGGCAAACUACGUACCAGCAGCCGCGGUAAUACGUAGGGCGCGAGCGUUGUCCGGAAUUACUGGGUGAAAGGGGAUCGUAGGCGGGGAUGAAAGUUGGGUGGCAAGACUACCGGCUCAACUGGUAGUCGCACUCAAAACUGCAGCUCUUGAGUGAAGUAGAGGCAGGCGGAAUUCCUGGUGUAGCGGUGAAAUGCGUAGAUAUUAGGAGGAACACCAGUGGCGAAGGCGGCCUGCUGGGCUUUUACUGACGCUGAGGCUCGAAAGUGUGGGGAGCAAACAGGAUUAGAUACCCUGGUAGUC
rnacentral:rRNA from 1 species